AGUGGCAGAGUGAGGGAAGGAAGGGAUGACUGGUGACAUAGUGAGGGAAUGACUGGUGACAGAGUGAGAGAGGGGGUGACUAGUGACCGAGUGAGGGAGGGAGUGGGUGACUAGUGACAGAGUAAGGAAGGGGGUGACACAGUGAUAGUCACCCCAUUCCUCCCUCUGUCACUAAUCACCACCUCCCUCACUCUCACUAGUCACCCCUUCCCUCCCUCACUUUGUCACUAGUCACACUCUCCCUCUCUCUGUCACUAGUCACACCCUUACUCACUGUCACUUGUCACACCCUUACUCACUGUCA